rnacentral:rRNA from 1 species
GAUGAACGCUGGCGGCGUGCUUAAUACAUGCAAGUCGAGCGAAUGGAUUAAGAGCUUGCUCUUAUGAAGUUAGCGGCGGACGGGUGAGUAACACGUGGGUAACCUGCCCAUAAGACUGGGAUAACUCCGGGAAACCGGGGCUAAUACCGGAUAACAUUUUGAACCGCAUGGUUCGAAAUUGAAAGGCGGCUUCGGCUGUCACUUAUGGAUGGACCCGCGUCGCAUUAGCUAGUUGGUGAGGUAACGGCUCACCAAGGCAACGAUGCGUAGCCGACCUGAGAGGGUGAUCGGCCACACUGGGACUGAGACACGGCCCAGACUCCUACGGGAGGCAGCAGUAGGGAACCUUCCGCAAUGGACGAAAGUCUGACGGAGCAACGCCGCGUGAGUGAUGAUGGCUUUCGGGUCGUAAAACUCUGUUGUUAGGGAAGAACAAGUGCUAGUUGAAUAAGCUGGCACCUUGACGGUACCUAACCAGAAAGCCACGGCUAACUACGUGCCAGCAGCCGCCGUAA